AACUGUUGAUGUAGGUAUAAAAGGUUUGGAGCAUUGUCGACCAAUAUUAGUCAUGCAUGGUCACAUUUAAAAUAAACAUAAAAAGGCACAACGUUGAUAGUGUCAUGCUCUGAUCCUAUACCCUGUACGUGGAUGGUACUCGAAGAUGAUAUAUGGCCCCCAAGCAAACCCUUGGACUUACUUACAUAACUAAGAAGAAGACUAAACUCAACUUAAAAAUUAAAAAAGCAUAUUUUAAAACAAAUACCUCAUAAAUUAAUCUGGCCAAAAUGACACUUGAGUCUCAACAAGUAAAAUAACACCAAACUGAACUACUAAGAGUAUGCGAAGCGUCUAAACUAAUUGAAGAGGGAUGUUGUGAUAGACCCCAUAACAUCCUAAAACUAGACUACUAAAGCAAAUGAAAUGGAUAUCCUCCUGAUUGCAAGGAGGCCCACCAUUGACUUUGGAGCUCAAUCUUCAUCAACGAAGUGCUGCGUGCUGAUCCUGGUUACCUGUGUCUUAAUAAGAAAAUUAUGCAGGCCAACUGGCAUCAGUACAUUGAAUGUACAAUUAUGCGAGUUGGAGUGCUGAGCAUAACUAUAAAGAUAUAAAUGGAUUAAGGAUGAACUUACUUUGGCUCUGCUAAACCUAUAAGAUAACAACUCAAUAUAAAGAAAUAAUGACAUAUGCAAUGUAUAUUUUAAUGUAAAACUGAUGAAACAAUGUAACACUUAUUUCAUUAACGAUAUAGCUAUAGUAAACUCAACUUUACAUAUAUAUAAAAUUAAUAUAGUUUCUGUAGGAUCUUCUCUAACCGACAACCACCACUAUGAGCCUAAGUGAUGAUACAACGUCUUGCCCACGCUGCAGAACUGUCCUAUAUAUUACUAUUGCACAGAACAUCCUCUACCUAGUGGAUCCACCGCCUAACCUUAUCUAAUCAUCUAAAAAGUAUGACAUCUUAAUACGUAUAAUGGCUACAUGGGGACUUGAGUUAUCUGAACUCUCAUUCCCACAUGAAUGCUCAAUACUACUCCAAAAACACACUUUAGCUCAUAGUUUUAAUUAAACUUCCUUCCUUCGGGUUAAGAUAAUUUACUAAACUUUUUUGCUUAAAAAGAUCCUUUUGGGAACAAUGUUCAUAUCUUUAGUUAAAAACUCUUUUAAAACUUCUUAGUUUCCUUUUAACUUAAAUACAAAUACAUUUUCACCUUUAGGGAAUAUUUAGUCCCCUUUAUAACUUUAGAGAAUGAACUCCAUUCCUUCUCCUACUUAACUUGAAACUUUAACUCUUAGGAAAUACUUAGUACCCUUAUACCUUUAUGAGAAAUGAAUUCAAACUUUACUCAUUUCUUUAACUCGAACUUGAGCCUUAAAACGAAUUAAAAUUUUUUAAGUAAGACUCUAAGAACUUUGAAAACUUUGCUCUUACUCACUUCAUAGCUUUAGACUUUAGUUCUUACUUUCUUGACUUUGACCCUACAUCCCUUGAAUUUGGAUUAUGGAUUCAAGAAUCAUGAUCUCAUGUUUAUGGAUGAUUUCAUGAUGAUUAGAUGUACUCUAGAGUGUAGGAAUCAGCAUGAAAUGAAGGGUACAUCACUUAGGAACUAGUACGAAAAAAUAAGAAAAAAAGGGGUCUCCAAGGGUUAUUGGCGCUCUGAGAGGCGUGGAGCGCUAAGGCCUGUCGAACAAACCCUGGUAUGGGGCUCUCUGGCUGGCACGCCCUGCGAGAUCUGUCAGAAAGACCCUAUCUUGAGUCCAUUUGGCAGGCGCGGCGCCCCAAUGGGUGUCUGGCGGGAACUUCGACUUUUCUUCUUCGUAUUUCAUCUCUAAACCUCCCAAACUCCAAUGGAUCCCAACCCUAACACUGAGGAUCGCUAAAUAACUCAUUAAAUAAUAGUUUAGACUUGAAAACGUCUAGAAACAUGAAUCGAAAUUGCUAGAGAUCAACUACAACGAAUUUACAGAUUGCUUCAGACAUAUGCAUUUUUUUGGGAAAACUGUCAACAAUAGUCAAAUUUUCAACAAUUCGUAUUUAACUCGUUUUAAUUUCGUUUUUCUAUUAUAAUAUUUUUUUGGAAUGAUAUGCACAACCAGAUUAUGAUCUAAUAAGUUUCGACAAAAAAUAUCUUCCAAACAAUUUCUAUGUCGCUACUAAACAAAAGUAGUUUUUUUAAAAAAAAAUAAAAUUGCACUGUUAUUUUUAUAGUAGGAAAAGUAAUUCCAUAUCUUUCAUAAUUCACAAUCAAAUAGGAUUUUAAAUCCAAUUUUCCAUAUGAUUAAUCAACAUUUAAACGUCAAGUAAAUUUUUCCUUUUUUUAAUUUUUUUUUCUUCUUUCUAUUCACUGAUUUUUAAAAGAAAUAUAAUCAAUUUCUUUUCUUAUAAAUAUACAAAGUGAAUAUCCAAGAAAUAAACGAAUAAUGAGAUUAAUAACAAUGACUCUGAUACCAUUGUUGAAAUUUUAAGAGAAAUCAACAACAAGAUGUGUACCUUGUAAUUCACAACGGAAGUCGUUAAAUUGUUUCUUUGUCAAGUUGAUGCUCAAGUCCAUCUUUGAUUCACUAGGAAAUAGAGGUUUUAUUCACAAACUAGAAGUUUGUUGUUGUGUGUUGAUGAAUGUGCCUGAGAAACUCAAUGUUUUUUUGUUUCUAGACUGAACGCUUGGUUUUUGACUUUCUGUUUUACAAGUUUCCGCUUUCUUUGCACGUUUAACUUUUAACUGAUCAUGUUUCAUGUUUCUUGUCACUUGGAAACUGCUCCUUCUACGAAUCUUUUAAGAGGAUUAGUAAUUGUUCGGUCUUAUCCUUUAAAGGAUUUAUCCUAAUUAAUUAAUUGGAUAAUACAUUAAAGAAGAUUGAGUCUGGUCGGGUCGGUCCACAUGAGCGACCCAUGACUCAAAAUUUAGGUGAUGUAUAUAAUAAUCAUUAGUGUUGCUUACAUAUGCGAUUUGUUUGGUUGUUGGAGAUACUAACUCAGAGUAUCGCUAGCAUCCAGAUAUAAAGAUUUUUUAAUGGUUGUGAAAAACAUAAACAAUCUAACAUUUAGAAAUCUUAUCAAUAUUCAGGAUCAUAGAACUACAUGAUUUUCACAUAUAUUUAAUAUUAUGAUAUUUCAGUCAAGAAUACAUACCCUAAUCUCUCAUAAUAAUUCUUGACUUGAUUGUGAGGAUGUCUUUUCUUUUGUUUCUUUAGAAGUUGUUUAUCUCUCUUGUCUUAUACUUUAUGUAUAGAUUUGAAGGAUAAGACUAUAUAUUUACGGCAAAGAGACGAUCCUUUAAAUAAAGUGUGUUUUUAACAUCAUUUUCAUCUUUCCAUCAUGGUUAGUAGUGGAGAUAAUGGAUAGUUGGAAGAGGUAAUGGGUAAAGUGGAAGACCUAAUGGGUAGUUGAAGUAACUUCUCCACUUAACCAAUUAGAAUUAUAAUUUAGUUAAUAAUAAAAUAUUAAAUAUAAAUAAUAUUAAUGGGAGUGGGUUAUAAAACUAACAUUCUCCCACUUGACACACGUAACAUCAUUGACUUGAUGAUUUGAUAAACAUUUCAAUUAAAAUGUGCACAUAUAUUAAAUUUAAUAUUAUUUAUUGUUAUUAAGUAAAAUCAACUAAUAAGAGUCAUGGUGGUUGUACACUACUUUAUUCAGCAUAGUCCCUUCCAUGCACUACAAUAUUAGUCUAUUGCCUAAUACACAUUUCAAAUACAUAAUGGGUCCACCAUAAUGCAAAUAUCUUUAUCUAAACCAAAACAUGUCAUCAUCAUUCUCAACAUAACAUACACAAGAGAAAACAAGUAAUAACAGAAACAUGUAUAUAGUUGAGCUCAAAGUGUCAAUUGCAUAAACAUAAUAUAAUCUUCACAUAAAGUCAUUCUUGCUAUUAAUACGACCCAUUCUUUCAGCAUAUUCAAUAAAUAUUUUGGAUGGUAAUCUUUUCGUCUAAGAAUCAGCAAUCAUAAGUUUGGUGCUAAUAUGUCGAAUUGUAACUUUAUAUUUCUGGACUUCUUCCUUAACUGAAAAGUAUUUCAAUUCCAUAUGUUUGGCACCCUUAGAAUACUUAUCAUUUUUAAAGCAGAAAACUGCUCCAGUAUUAUCACAAUAAAUUUUCAGCGGCUUGAAAAUACUAUCGACUAGUCCAAGUCCUGAAUUAAAGUUUUGCAUCCAAUUAGCAUGAACUAUGGCCUCAAAGCAUGCCACAAACUCAGCUUCCAUAGUAGAUGCAGCUAUAACAGACUGUUUUGCACUCUUCCACGAUAUUGCUCCUCCAUCUAAUAGGAACAAAUACCCAAAUAUAGAUUUUCGUGUAUCCACAAAAUCAACAUAAUCUCAAUCUGAAUAUCCAAUCACAUCAAGAUGAUCAGAUCAUUUAUAAGUGAGCAUACGAUCUUUAGUUCUUAACAAGUAUCACAACACUUUCUUCGCAGCUUUCAUGUGAUCCAUUCCUGGAUUACUUUGAUAACGGCCCAACAUUCCAACAGCGAAACUGAUGUCUGGUCUAGUAUAUGUUUGGGCAUACAUUAGACUCUUAACUAUUGAUGCAUAAGGAAUAUCAUUCAUUUGCUUACGUUCCAAUUCAUUCUCUGGACAUUGAUUAAGACUAAAUUUAAAUCCAAUCUGAAUUGGAAUGGGACUUGAUGAGCAUUUUCCAUUCACAAUCUCUCUAAAACUUUAUUAAUAUAGGCUUUCUAAGACAAACUAAUAAUUCUUGUGAUCUAUUCCGAAAUAUUUCUGUUUCAAUCAGAUAAGAUGCCUCUCUCAUAUAUUUCAUUUCAAAAUUGUUAUAUAAAUAUCUAUUUGUAUCAUGCAACAAAUUAAGAUCAUUAGUAGAAAGCAAGAUAUCAUCAACAUACAGGACUAACAUAAUAAACUUACUCCCACUAACCUUCAGAUAUAUACACUGAUCAACAGUGUUUUUCAUAAAUUCAAAAGAGACAAUACUUUCAUUAAACUUAAGAUACCAUUGUCAAGAAAAUUGUUUAAGUCCGUAUAAUGACUUCUUAAGUUUCACACCAUGUGUUCCUUUCCUUUACAAGAGAACUCUUCAGGUUGAUUCAUAUAAACUUCUUCCUCUAAAUUUCCAUUUAGAAAGGUUGUUUUCACAUCCAUUUGAUAUAGCUCUAAAUCAUAAUGAUCUACUAAAGUCAUUAUAAUUCUGAGUGAAUCUUUUCUAGAAACAGGUGAAAUAUUUUUUUAUAGUCGAUGCCAUCCUUUUGAGUGAAACCUUUUGCAGCAAGUCUGGCAUUGUGACGUUCGAUACUGCCAGUUGAGUCACAUUUGGUCUUAAAGACCCAUUUACACCCAACUAUUUUGUAACCUUCUUGUAAUUAAACAAGGUCUCAUACUUCAUUUUGUUCCAAAGAUUUCAACUCAUCUUUCUUAGCAUUUAUACAGCUAUCAAAAUUAUUACUUUCAAUAGCUUGUGAAAAUGAAACUGGAGCAUUAUCAAUUCCCAAUUCAAUUUCUGACACAUGUAAAUAUACCAAAUAGUCAUCAGAAAUAGCAGGCCUUUUUUGUCUUUGAUAUUUUCUUAAUGCUACUUCUUGUGCUACAUCUACUGCAGAUUCAUUAAUUAUUGUUUCAUUGAGAUUAACAAGAGCAUCAAUUUGUUGUUCUUGUUGAUUGUUAGGUUGUGCAACAACUUUAGGAACAACAUCAUUAAAAGAAGUAAAAGGUAAAGAAACCCUCACCCUAACUUUUUUAAUUUCCACUUUACGUGGUUCUUCACUCCCACUAACUUCACCAUUCUCAAUAAACCUAGCAUUUCCAAUUUGAACUCUUCUUGUACUGUGAUUAGGACAAUAAAAUCUAUACCCUUUUGAUUUUUCUAGAUAACCAAUGACGAAAUCAUUGAUAGUUAUUGAAUCCAAUUUCUUUUCUUGUAGGUUAUAAAUCUAAUUUCUGUCGGGCAACCCCAAACAUGCAGGUGCCUUAAACUAGGUUUCCUACCAGUCCAUAGUUCAAAAAGAGUCUUUGGAAUGCUUUACUAGGAACCAUAUUAAGUAAGUAAACGGCAAUGCUUAAAGCAUACAUCCACAAUGAAAGAGGAAUAAAUGAAUUACUUAUAAUACUCCUAACCAUGUCCAUUAAUGUACAAUUACGCCUUUUUACUACAGCAUUUUGUUGUGGUUGUUCCAGGCAUUGUGUAUUGAACACAUAUGCCAUAUUUUUGAGGAAUUUAGCAAAUGGACCUGGGUGUUGUCCAUUUUCAUCAUAUCUUUUAUAAUAUUACCAUCUCUAUCUGACCUGAUUAUUUUCACCUUUCUAUCUAGUUGUCUUUCAACCUCAGUAAUAAAGACCUCUAAGGCAUUUAUCGCUUGAGACUUUUCAUGCAACAAAUAAACACUCCCAUAACGUGAAAAAUCGUCCUGAAAGAUGUAAUAUCAAAAGGACCGCAUAUACCGGUGUGUAUAAUUUCAAGAAGUUGUGUGCUUAUUGUGGCUCCUUUCUUUGUGUGUCUUGUUUGUUUUCCUUUAGUACAAUCCACACAAAUGUUAAGGUCUGUAAAAUCAAAUUUUCAAAGAAUUUCAUUCUUAAGUAAUCUUUUCAAUCUUUCUUUGGAUAUGUGACCUAAACGUUUGUGCCACAAAAAGAAGAUUAUUUAUUCACCAAACUUCAUUUGGUUUCAAUAUUAUGAUGCAGAGUUAAGACUUUUUUAGCAAAUAGAUUAUCAAGAUUCAGUUUGUAUAAGUUAUCACAAAGAGUACCAGUACCAAUGUGAUAAAUAUGUUUAAACAAACUAAAAAAUACAACUUAGACAAAGAAACUAAAUUUCUCGAAAGAGAAGGUACAUAACAAGUUUCAAGUAAAUCUAAGUGGCGUCCAGUAUCAAGGAUCAAACGGUAAGUUCCUAUAGCUUUAACUAGAGUCUUCACUCUAUUGCCCAUAUACACAUAUCUUUCAUUCUGUUUUAUGGUUUGUGUGGUAAGUAAUCCCUACAUCGUAUUAGAAACAUGAACAGUACAACAGAUUCAAUCAACCAAGUAUUAUAAGGGACUUCGGUUAAUUUGGUUCGAGGCAUGUAAAAUCACUAGGUUUACCUUACUGCUCAAGUCAUGCAUUAAAUUUCAGGUAAUCUUUCUGAAAGUUUCCAAAUUUUCCACAGAAACGACACUUAUAAUUCUUAUGUACUUGAGAGGAGGACUCGUUAACAUUAUGGCACCUCUGUUUUCCUUUAGCGUGUUUGUUUCCUUUCUUUCCAACUCUUUGGUGACUAACAAGGUUAAUGGAGUGGGUUCCUUGAUUCUUAAGCCUUACUUUCUCCUGAACCAACAUUCCGUGCAAUUCAUGCACGUUUCAUUUCUCUUUUAUAGUGUUGAAGUUCAUUUGGAGAGGUCCAUACUUAGACGGUAAUAAGUUUAUAAUGAAUUGUACAAGGAAAUCUUGUUCCACUUCCAUUCCCAAAGACUUAAGUCUUGCUGCUAUGUUUGUCAUUUUGAUGACAUGCUCAUGCAUAGUACAUGAACCAUCAAACUUCAUGGUGGUAAAAGUACCCAUUAGUGUCCCAGCAAGAGACUUAUCAGUAGUUUGAGAGGAUUCUUCCACGAAUUUCAGAAAAUCUUUUGCAUUUUUAGUUUUGGAAAGAGUAGUCUUAAUGUUGCUCGCAAUAUUCAUUCGUAUAAACAUUAUGCCUAAUCUGUCAGAUCGAUCCCUGUGCUUAUAAUGAGACCUUUCUUCAGUACUGCUAGUUUCAAUAAUAGCAGUUGACUUCUCAGUGUAAAGUGCAACAUCAAAGAUUAGACCACUUUGGUGAUUAACUAAUCUCAUAUGCAUAAAUUCAAAAUAAAAUACAUCAUGAUAGUGAAUAAUUAUUUCACGUAUUACUACCUAUUACCGUUUUCAAAUAAGGAAAACAUUAAUUUUAUGAAAAAGCAGUAGUUGUUAAACAAGUCUUUGAUACCACCUACAAAGAUUUUUAAUGAUUGUGAGAAAAAUAAACAAUCUAACAUUUAGAAAUCCUAUCUAUUAUUCAGGAUCGUAGAACUAUAUGAUUUUUACAUAAAUUUAACUAUGAUAUUUCAGUCAAGAAUACAUACCUGAAUCUGUUAUUAUAAUCUUUGACAUGAUUGAACGAAAGUCUUUUCUUUUGGUUCUUUAGAAGUUGUUUGUCUCUCUUGCCUUACACUUUAUGUAUAGCUUUGAUGGAUAAGACUAUAUAUUUAUGGCAGAGAGAGGACCCUUUUUAAUAGAGUGUAUUUUAACAUCAUUCUCACUUUUCCAUCAUGGUGAGUAGUGGAAAUAAUGGAUUGUUGGAAGAGGUAAUGGGUAGUUGAAGUAACUUCUCCACUUCGCCACUUCCCCAUUUCUCCACUUCUCCACCUAUCCAAUUAGAAUUAGAAUUUAGUUAGUAAUUAAAUAUUUAACCAAAAUAAUAUUAAUGUGAGUGGGUCAUAAAACCAACACCAGAUGUUUGCUUUAAUUAAUCUCGUUUAUUUAUAAAUAUUUUAUAUUUAUUUAGUAUAAAACCUUUUAUUUACUUUCUACAAGUUUAAUGAUAUCUGAUAUUUAGUUGGCUUAGAACAAAAACUGAACAUAGGUGGAUCUUAGUAUUACCUAUUGUUUGAUUUAUGAUAUUAUUUAUUAUUUCUAUUGUUAUUCAUUUCCUGAUGUGUAUAAUAGUUUAAUUUUUUUUCUUCUCAAGUGUUUUUAGCAAGCUUUAUUACCUAUUUCCUAAAUUUGAAAUAAAAUAUCAAUAGAAUUUGAAAUAGAAUUUCAAUAUAAUUUGAAAUAUAAUUAUACAUCUUAAGUUUGGGAAAUGAAAGUUUUUCUUAGAAUGUUUGUUGUGCGGAAUUUGAGAUAAUACGAGAAAAUAUAAACGCGAAAAACAAGACAACAGAUUUACGUGGUUCACCAAUAAAUUGGCUACGUCCACGGGAAGAGAGGGAGCAGUUUUAUUAUGGAGAGGCAAAAACAGAAUUACAGAAUAGGGUUUCCCAUAGCGUCUAUAUAUAGUGCUAAGCUACGCCCGUCCUUUCUGUUUGUAGCGGGUCCGAUUCAAGGCAUUUAACAAUAUUUUAUCAAAAAUUUCCUAAAUUUGAAAUACAAAUUUAAUUGACUUAAAUGUUUCAUGGUCAAAUACUUGUACUGAGUAUAUAUAAAGUAAUGUAAAAAAAGUUUUUCUAUAAUCAUAAGAGAUGAAAUUUGUAAUUCGGUCAUCAAUUCAUGAUAAAUUAAUUUUAAAAUCUCCUUUUUUCAUAUAAAAUUGUAGUAUUAUAUAUUCAAUAGGAACCUAGCUAGUUUAUCUUCUAACAUGGGAAUCUAGAUUAUAUUUUCUCUAAAUUGUUGGAUGAACCAUAAAAAGUAAAGCACAAUAAGUUUAAUUUUUUGUUCUAACAAUUUAAUCAGCCUUACUUUGACGAGGGAAAUGAACUGAAAUAUUAGUCAAAUAUAGCUAAAAAUAUACAGAGAAGAGACACAUAGUUGAGUAAUUAAGCAAUGAUUAAAUAUAGUUGUUGGGAACAAAGGGUAAAAGAGUUAUGAUAUUAUGGUUUGAGAGUAUUAAUUGGGACAAUUUUUAUAAAUAAUGAGGGGUUUAUAAAUUAUACUGAUUAAUUAAUUAAAAUAAUAAUGGUCGAGCAUUGCGUAUUUUAAAUACUAAUUAUAUAAUUUAAAUGAAUAUUCGUUUAAAAAUUGGUCAAAUUUGGAUUGAAAGAUGAAUCGCAAAGAUGUUUCCAAUAGCUCAGUUGCAUAUGAGAAAAAAAAAUUGCAGGUCUAAAGUUACAACACCCAAAGAUGAAGACAAUGAAAACUAACCUUGGUGUUCACUGGAGAAGACGACAAGAACCUUGGCGGAACAGCGUUUCAGCUACAGCUUUGAGAAUGCUAUCUAUUCUGCUUUUCAGUUGCUUUUCACUCUAUUUCUUUUGUUUUUCUUUUCAUUUUUUUAUGUCUUAGUUUCUUUUAGGAAAUGAGCCAUAUGGGCUCUUUUUA
rnacentral:lncRNA from 1 species